GCGAACGGGUGAGUAACACGUGGGCAACCUGCCCUGCACUCUGGGAUAACUUCGGGAAACCGGAGCUAAUACCGGAUAACAUCCUCCUCCGCAUGGUGGGGGGUUGAAAGUUCCGGCGGUGCAGGAUGGGCCCGCGGCCUAUCAGCUUGUUGGUGGGGUAGUGGCCUACCAAGGCGACGACGGGUAGCCGGCCUGAGAGGGCGACCGGCCACACUGGGACUGAGACACGGCCCAGACUCCUACGGGAGGCAGCAGUGGGGAAUAUUGCGCAAUGGGCGAAAGCCUGACGCAGCGACGCCGCGUGAGGGAUGACGGCCUUCGGGUUGUAAACCUCUUUCAGCAGGGAAGAAGCGCAAGUGACGGUACCUGCAGAAGAAGCACCGGCUAACUACGUGCCAGCAGCCGCGGUAAUACGUAGGGUGCGAGCGUUGUCCGGAAUUAUUGGGCGUAAAGAGCUCGUAGGCGGCCUGUCGCGUCGGAUGUGAAAACUCGGGGCUUAACCCCGAGCCUGCAUUCGAUACGGGCAGGCUAGAGUUCGGCAGGGGAGACUGGAAUUCCUGGUGUAGCGGUGAAAUGCGCAGAUAUCAGGAGGAACACCGGUGGCGAAGGCGGGUCUCUGGGCCGAUACUGACGCUGAGGAG
rnacentral:rRNA from 1 species